UACGGGGGGAGCAAGCGUUGUUCGGAUUUACUGGGCGUAAAGAGCGCGUAGGCGGCUCGGUAAGUGUGAAGUGAAAUCUCUAGGGCUCAACCCAGAAACUGCUUUACAUACUGCCAAGCUGGAGUGAUGAAGAGGUUUGUGGAAUUCCUGGUGUAGCGGUGAAAUGCGUUGAUAUCAGGAGGAACACCCAUGGCGAAGGCAGCAAACUGGUCAUCAACUGACGCUGAGGCGCGAAAGCGUGGGUAGCAAACAGG
rnacentral:rRNA from 1 species